rnacentral:rRNA from 1 species
GUCUUAAUAGGGCGACUAGUUGCUGGGUGUAGACCCGAAACCGAGUGAUCUAUCCAUGGCCAGGAUGAAGGUGCGGUAAAACGCAUUGGAGGUCCGAACCCACGCAUGUUGCAAAAUGUGGGGAUGAGCUGUGGAUAGGGGUGAAAGGCUAAACAAACUCGGAGAUAGCUGGUUCUCCCCGAAAACUAUUUAGGUAGUGCCUCGAGUAUGAGACUGAUGGGGGUAAAGCACUGUUAUGGCUAGGGGGUUAUUGCAACUUACCAACCCAUGGCAAACUAAGAAUACCAUCAAGUUGCUCCUCGGGAGACAGACAUCGGGUGCUAACGUCCGGUGUCAAGAGGGAAACAACCCAGACCGCCAGCUAAGGUCCCAAAUGAUAGAUUAAGUGGUAAACGAAGUGGGAAGGCACAGACAGCCAGGAUGUUGGCUUAGAAGCAGCCAUCAUUUAAAGAAAGCGUAAUAGCUCACUGGUCGAGUCUUCCUGCGCGGAAGAUGUAACGGGGCUCAAAUCUAUAACCGAAGCUGCGGAUAUACUUUUGUAUAUGGUAGGGGAGCGUUCUGUAAGCCUGUGAAGGUGACUUGUAAAGGUUGCUGGAGGUAUCAGAAGUGCGAAUGUUGACAUGAGUAGCGAUAAAGCGGGUGAAAAGCCCGCUCGCCGAAAGCCCAAGGUUUCCUACGCAACGUUCAUCGGCGUAGGGUGAGUCGGCCCCUAAGGCGAGGCAGAAAUGCGUAGUCGAUGGGAAACAGGUUAAUAUUCCUGUACUUUGAUUCAAUGCGAUGUGGGGACGGAGAAGGUUAGGUUAGCAAACUGUUGGAAUAGUUUGUUUAAGCCAGUAGGUGGAAAGAGUAGGCAAAUCCGCUCUUUCUUAACACCGAGACGUGAUGACGAGUGUCUACGGACAUGAAGUGACCAAUACCACGCUUCCAGGAAAAGCCACUAAGCUUCAGUUGAAUCAGAACCGUACCGCAAACCGACACAGGUGGGCAGGAUGAGAAUUCUAAGGCGCUUGAGAGAACUCGGGAGAAGGAACUCGGCAAAUUGAUACCGUAACUUCGGGAGAAGGUAUGCCCUCUAAUGUUAAGGACUUGCUCCGUAAGCAUCUGAGGGUCGCAGAGAAUCGGUGGCUGCGACUGUUUAUUAAAAACACAGCACUCUGCUAACACGAAAGUGGACGUAUAGGGUGUGACGCCUGCCCGGUGCUGGAAGGUUAAUUGAAGAUGUGCAAGCAUCGGAUCGAAGCCCCAGUAAACGGCGGCCGUAACUAUAACGGUCCUAAGGUAGCGAAAUUCCUUGUCGGGUAAGUUCCGACCCGCACGAAUGGCGUAACGAUGGCCACACUGUCUCCUCCCGAGACUCAGCGAAGUUGAAAUGGUUGUGAAGAUGCAAUCUCCCCGCUGCUAGACGGAAAGACCCCGUGAACCUUUACUGUAGCUUUGCAUUGGACUUUGAAGUCACUUGUGUAGGAUAGGUGGGAGGCUUUGAAGCAGAGACGCCAGUCUCUGUGGAGCUGUCCUUGAAAUACCACCCUGGUGACUUUGAGGUUCUAACCCAGACCCGUUAUCCGGGUCGGGGACCGUGCAUGGUAGGCAGUUUGACUGGGGCGGUCUCCUCCCAAAGAGUAACGGAGGAGUUCGAAGGUUACCUAGGUCCGGUCGGAAAUCGGACUGAUAGUGCAAUGGCAAAAGGUAGCUUAACUGCGAGACCGACAAGUCGAGCAGGUGCGAAAGCAGGACAUAGUGAUCCGGUGGUUCUGAAUGGAAGGGCCAUCGCUCAACGGAUAAAAGGUACUCCGGGGAUAACAGGCUGAUUCCGCCCAAGAGUCCAUAUCGACGGCGGAGUUUGGCACCUCGAUGUCGGCUCAUCACAUCCUG